rnacentral:rRNA from 1 species
CCUACGGGAGGCUGCAGUGAGGAAUAUUGGUCAAUGGUCGGGAGUCUGAACCAGCCAAGUCGCGUGAAGGAGGACUGCCCAGUGGAUCGUAAACUUCUUUUGUAUGGGAAUAAAAUGUGGCACGUGUGGGCGUUUGUGUGUACCAUAUGAAUAAGCAUCGGCUAACUCCGUGCCAGCAGCCGCGGUAAUACGGAGGAUCCGAGCGUUAUCCGGAUUUAUUGGGUGUAAAGGGAGCGUAGGUGGAUUGUUAAGUCAGUUGUGAAAGUUCGCGGCUCAACCGCGAAACUGCAGUUGAAACUGGGAGUCUGGAGUACAGGAGAGGUGGGCGGAAUUCGUGGUGUAGCGGUGAAAUGCGUAGAUAUCACGAAGAACUCCGAUUGCGAAGGCAGCUCACUGGACUGCAACUGACAUUGAGGCGCGAAAGUGUGGGGAGCAAACAGGAUUAGAUACCCGAGUAGUC